rnacentral:tRNA from 1 species
GCCGGUGUAGCUCGGAGAGGAGCAGUCGCCUGGCAUGUGCGAGGCCCUGGGUUCCAUCCCUAGCACCGCCA